rnacentral:rRNA from 1 species
CCUACGGGAGGCAGCAGUGAGGAAUAUUGGUCAAUGGACGCAAGUCUGAACCAGCCAUGCCGCGUGCAGGAAGAAGGCUCUAUGAUUUGUAAACUGCUUUUGUACGAGGGUAAACGCAGAUACGCGUAUCUGUCUGUAUGUAUCAUACGAAUAAGGAUCGGCUAACUCCGUGCCAGCAGCCGCGGUAAUACGGAGGAUUCGAGCGUUAUCCGGAUUUAUUGGGUUUAAAGGGUGCGUAGGCGGUGGAUUAAGUUAGAGGUGGAAUCCCGUGGCUCAACUUCGGAAUUGCCGUUGAUACUGGUCGGCUAGAGAAUAGUUGCGGUAGGCGGAAUGUGUGGUGUAGCGGUGAAAUGCUUAGAUAUCAUACAGAACACCGAUUGCGAAGGCAGCUUACUAAGCUAUAUCUGACGUUGAGGCACGAAAGCGUGGGGAGCAAACAGGAUUAGAUACCCGAGUAGUC